CAAAAGUUGACAUUUUUAUAUGAUUCAGAGUACAUCUAACUCCAGUGUUCUGGCUCUCUAGAAAUGAAUAAGAAGUCAAUAUGUCAUCCAUUGGGACUUGGUACCCUGAAAGAAAAUGCCCAUGAAGAUGAUGAAUUGGUGGAAAGACUUAGAAGCAGGGUCUUGGCCCUUAGGUGGAGAUGCCAAGGUCUACUUCUGAUGAAGGAAAGAAAGCCGUUAGCAUGUCCAAGCUUCUCUAGAAUGCCUCUGAUCAGCCAAAGCCAGAUGACACUUAAGAUCAUCCAGGAAUGUGGACCUGGGUAUGAUUAUACUAAGUGAGUGGUCAUGCAUGGAUGUGAAAGUUGGACUGUGAAGAAAGCUGAGCACCGAAGAAUUGAUGCUUUUGAACUGUGGUGUUGGAGAAGACUCUUGAGAGUCCCUUGGACUGCAAGGAGAUCCAACCAGUCCAUUCUAAAGGAGAUGAGCCCUGGGAUUUCUUUGGAAGGAAUGAUGCUAAAACUGAAACUCCAGUACUUUGGCCAACUCAUGCGAAGAGUUGAC
ensembl:lncRNA